AUUGAACGCUGGCGGCAGGCUUAACACAUGCAAGUCGAGCGAGCGGCGGACGGGUGAGUAAUGUCUGGGAAACUGCCUGAUGGAGGGGGAUAACUACUGGAAACGGUAGCUAAUACCGCAUACCAUCAGAUGUGCCCAGAGUGGAUUAGCUAGUAGGUGGGGUAAUGGCUCCCCUGGGCGACGAUCCCUAGCUGGGCUGAGAGGAUGACAAACCACACUGUAAGUGUUACACGGUCCAGCUGCCUACGGGGGGCAGCGGUGGGGAAUAUUGCACAAUGGGCGCAAGUCUGAUGCCGCCAUGCCGCGUGUGUGAAGAAGGCCAUCGGGUUGUAAAGAACUUUCACUGAGGAGGCGUUACUCGAAGGUGUAGCACCGGCUAACUCCGUACCAGCCGCCGCGGUAAUUC
rnacentral:rRNA from 1 species